rnacentral:rRNA from 1 species
AUUGAACGCUGGCGGCAGGCCUAACACAUGCAAGUCGAACGGUAACAGGAAGCAGCUUGCUGCUUCGCUGACGAGUGGCGGACGGGUGAGUAAUGUCUGGGAAACUGCCUGAUGGAGGGGGAUAACUACUGGAAACGGUAGCUAAUACCGCAUAACGUCGCAAGACCAAAGAGGGGGACCUCCGGGCCUCUUGCCCUCGGAUGUGCCCAGAUGGGAUUAGCUAGUAGGUGGGGUAACGGCUCACCUAGGCGACGAUCCCUAGCUGGUCUGAGAGGAUGACCAGCCACACUGGAACUGAGACACGGUCCAGACUCCUACGGGAGGCAGCAGUGGGGAAUAUUGCACAAUGGGCGCAAGCCUGAUGCAGCCAUGCCGCGUGUAUGAAGAAGGCCUUCGGGUUGUAAAGUACUUUCAGCGGGGAGGAAGGGAGUAAAGUUAAUACCUUUGCUCAUUGACGUUACCCGCAGAAGAAGCACCGGCUAACUCUGUGCCAGCAGCCGCCGUAAUAC